GCCGCUGUGGCGGAACGGCAGACGCGGAGCACUCAAAAUGCUUUGUCCUUCACGGGCGUGUGGGUUCGAAUCCCACCAGCGGCACAACCG
rnacentral:tRNA from 1 species